rnacentral:rRNA from 1 species
AUUGAACGCUGGCGGCAUGCCUUACACAUGCAAGUCGAACGGCAGCACGGGAGCAAUCCUGGUGGCGAGUGGCGAACGGGUGAGUAAUACAUCGGAACGUGCCCAGUAAUGGGGGACAACUAGUUGAAAGAUUAGCUAAUACCGCAUACGACCUACGGGUGAAAGCAGGGGAUCGCAAGACCUUGCGUUAUUGGAGCGGCCGAUGUCAGAUUAGCUUGUUGGUGAGGUAAAAGCUCACCAAGGCGACGAUCUGUAGCUGGUCUGAGAGGACGACCAGCCACACUGGAACUGAGACACGGUCCAGACUCCUACGGGAGGCAGCAGUGGGGAAUUUUGGACAAUGGGCGAAAGCCUGAUCCAGCCAUGCCGCGUGCGGGAAGAAGGCCUCGGUGUAACG